GCGAGAACAGAGGAAGCCAGCGGCCAAUGGGCGGCGCCGCUGGAGGCGGGAGCAGGGAGACAAGGAAAUUCUGUCACCGCGGUUAACACGCACGUGGAGGUUUGUUAAAGCAGGCGCCCUUCUCCUCUCCUCAGACUCAGCCAUCCACGGCUGUGAGGACAGCUGGUCCUGCCUUCCCUGGACUGUCCGCUCCAGCCAACAUAAAGCCUGAGGUAACACGAAGAUGCUGAGAUUAUACCAAGAGCAGCUUCCGAAACUGCACCGUGAGCCUAGGGAGCCCUCUCUGUGGGGCACUGCUGACGCUCCCUAGGUCAGGACCCCUGCAUGGUGGGUGGGGAAGCCCCCUCCCCAGCUACUCCUCCAGCCCUGAGCCAGGCUUCCUGCUCACUGCUAUGGCCAGACGCCAGGCCAGCCUGGAGAGAAGCUUGGCUCAGUCAGGAUCCCUGACUAGGAGGACACAUCUACUCCAUGCCCAAGUCCUGGGUGCUUUAUGCUCAGCCUUCACCACAAAGGCCCAGUGGCCCAGGUAUUGAUCUAUAGCAUAUGGAGAAGUGCUUUAUGUGAAUUUACACUUCAAUGCAGACAAUAGGGAUGGCCCCAUACUAGGUAUCACCUGGUUGGCCCAAUAGGUAGCACUAAGACUAGGUAGCUAAUCACUGAAUAUAAUGAGAAUAAAGAUAGAGUAAAUUCUAUUUUUGUUUAAAUGUAUAUGUAUUUCAAUAUAUGAAUAUAGCAGGAAAAAGUCUUAAAUUGCUAAAAUGUUAAAAACCAUUAUCUCCCGGUAGUUGGAUUUUGCUUGACUAAGAGAAUUUUUCUCCUUGUUUUUCUCCGUAUUUUGUCAUUUUCUCACAAUAAGUGUAUUCUGUUGUACUCUUUUUAAAAUAAAGGAAGAUAAAGAACAUUGAGGAAGUAAUUAAA